rnacentral:rRNA from 1 species
GACGAACGCUGGCGGCGUGCUUAACACAUGCAAGUCGAACGAUGAUGCCCAGCUUGCUGGGCGGAUUAGUGGCGAACGGGUGAGUAACACGUGAGUAACCUGCCCCUGACUCUGGGAUAAGCGUUGGAAACGACGUCUAAUACUGGAUAUGAUCACCGGCCGCAUGGUCUGGUGGUGGAAAGAUUUUUUGGUUGGGGAUGGACUCGCGGCCUAUCAGCUUGUUGGUGAGGUAAUGGCUCACCAAGGCGACGACGGGUAGCCGGCCUGAGAGGGUGACCGGCCACACUGGGACUGAGACACGGCCCAGACUCCUACGGGAGGCAGCAGUGGGGAAUAUUGCACAAUGGGCGAAAGCCUGAUGCAGCAACGCCGCGUGAGGGAUGACGGCCUUCGGGUUGUAAACCUCUUUUAGUAGGGAAGAAGCGAAAGUGACGGUACCUGCAGAAAAAGCACCGGCUAACUACGUGCCAGCAGCCGCGGUAAUACGUAGGGUGCAAGCGUUGUCCGGAAUUAUUGGGCGUAAAGAGCUCGUAGGCGGUCUGUCGCGUCUGCUGUGAAAUCCCGAGGCUCAACCUCGGGCUUGCAGUGGGUACGGGCAGACUAGAGUGCGGUAGGGGAGAUUGGAAUUCCUGGUGUAGCGGUGGAAUGCGCAGAUAUCAGGAGGAACACCGAUGGCGAAGGCAGAUCUCUGGGCCGUAACUGACGCUGAGGAGCGAAAGCAUGGGGAGCGAACAGGAUUAGAUACCCUGGUAGUCCAUGCCGUAAACGUUGGGCGCUAGAUGUAGGGACCUUUCCACGGUUUCUGUGUCGUAGCUAACGCAUUAAGCGCCCCGCCUGGGGAGUACGGCCGCAAGGCUAAAACUCAAAGGAAUUGACGGGGGCCCGCACAAGCGGCGGAGCAUGCGGAUUAAUUCGAUGCAACGCGAAGAACCUUACCAAGGCUUGACAUACACCGGAAACGGCCAGAGAUGGUCGCCCCCUUGUGGUCGGUGUACAGGUGGUGCAUGGUUGUCGUCAGCUCGUGUCGUGAGAUGUUGGGUUAAGUCCCGCAACGAGCGCAACCCUCGUUCUAUGUUGCCAGCGGGUUAUGCCGGGGACUCAUAGGAGACUGCCGGGGUCAACUCGGAGGAAGGUGGGGAUGACGUCAAAUCAUCAUGCCCCUUAUGUCUUGGGCUUCACGCAUGCUACAAUGGCCGGUACAAAGGGCUGCGAUACCGUAAGGUGGAGCGAAUCCCAAAAAGCCGGUCUCAGUUCGGAUUGAGGUCUGCAACUCGACCUCAUGAAGUCGGAGUCGCUAGUAAUCGCAGAUCAGCAACGCUGCGGUGAAUACGUUCCCGGGCCU